CAUAAGCAAUACCAGAUAUUAUAAUAAAUAUAUCGUAUAAAUUUGCGUUCGCUUUUCUGUUCACAAUUAGUUGGUCAAUAAACUUCAUCAACGGCAAUCGUAAUACGUUGUAAGCAAGUUUACUGAAGAAAAUAUUUCCGAAAUUAAACAUCUAAAUGUCACCCUGCCAGGUAAUUUUUGUACUAGAUGCGGACGCCUUCUAUGUGCAAAUUAGUCAAAAAACUGACCAAAAUUGGUAAACCGUGCGUCGUGGUAACUUCGUCUGGAACGUAAUUUUUUUAUAUGAAUUGCAUACUUAACCUCUUUCGUACUACUAAUUUUUUUAUGAUUUUCUCUAUAUAAAAAAACCGAAUAUUAUUUCAACCAGUUUCCAAAGUUUUUUAUGACAACCCUGAAAAAUCCACUUUUUAACAUUGGUCGGUAUAACGAAAAUUCCAAGAUUUUAGAAGAAGGAUAUCAAGGACAAAUUACUAUCUGGCAUCCUGUUUUCCACAAAAUGCCGAAGAAAUACUCUUGUUAUUAGAAAUUUUAAUGUCAGGGUCAUUUUUGAAGUAUGUACAUAUAAUUGUGUAAUUCAUCCUCAAGAGGAAAUAAAAUACGAAACAAAUAUGUGUAGUUUGAAGGCAAGGGGUUCAAAUUAGUAUCAAAAUUAUGGAAAAUAUCUAAAUCACCUCAGACAAAUUAAUCAAGUGGAGAUUUACUUUUUUCCUAGAAUUUUGUCCGUCUCCAACGAAGCAAAGCAUUUCAAGAUUAGUCGUAAGCACACACUUCAAGAAGCCGUUGCACUAUGCCCCUACCUGACAACAAUCCCUAAAAAGCAAAAAUUUGACAAAAACGACUCAUCAGAAACAAAUCAAUGGAGCUUCGCUAUCCGACCCGCAAUUUUGACUUUCAUUCGAGAAAUUAUUACCGACGCGGACGACGAGGUUCCCAUCCCCUUACUAAAGGAACUAAAUGAUGAAUAUUUUCUAGACUUAACAGAUAAAGUGGACGCCAUAAUUGGAAACUGGGAAACUGAUAUCGAUACUACACAAAAAGUAUGCAUGGAGGCAAACUCUGAAACCUUUAGAGGCAGGCGGCUUGCACGUCGAGCCAAGACGUAUUAUAAUUCGCGAGAUACAGAAGAUCCUGAGGAAGUCCGGUUGGGAUAUGGUCUCGAAAUUGGGCAAAAACUGUGCGAAUUUGUUUAUCAGGAAACUGGCAUCGUUUGUUCAGGUAUAAUUUUUGAAGUGCUGCUGAUUAUUUUUCAUAUUGGCGUGCUACUCAUCCUAAAAAGAGCUAGGUGCAGUCACUUCUUAAUUCUAAAUUGAGCUAAGUGCACUAUAAGGGUGUUAACGGUGCACUUAACCCUUUUUAGAAUUAAUAAAUGACUACACAUAGAUCCUUUUAGAACUUAAAAUCGACAGCACUUAGCACUUUUUAGAAUUAUCAACUGUCAAGUGGUAUUUCCUCUAAUAAUGUAUUGGCCAAGGCGGCUUGCAAAUACCGCAAGCCAAACGGUGUAACUGGACUUACUGAAGCUGGAUUUCGUUGAAUUUCUCCCACCAUUAAAUUUUAAAGUAUGUGCGGUCUUGGAAGCGAAAGAGGUGAUGCGAUUGCUGCAAGAACCGAGGGAAUUUUCGCGAGCUUGUUGAUCUCGUAGGGCAAGAUUUUGCUAACGAGGUGAUCGAAAUCUUAAAGGGCGAAUGUGACCGACAAGUUCAAGAUAAACCAAUGCCGGACAAGUUGAAUUGCCGAAAGGAAAGAUUAAGAAUCGGUACGGAAGGCGAUUUCUGGAAACAUCUUAACCCCUUGGUCCAAAAUCCGAGGGAUCGUCUUAACGAAGAACUAGAAUUCAAUAGGAGAUAUCCUAUUGAUAUUAAGAUUCAAUAUUUCUUCCGUGUUGGAAGGAAUCCGUGUCAAGAACGGGAAUUCAAUCUGAACGUACAAUGUGUGUAUGAGGAUGACCAACUAAUCGAUCACAAAGAAUUAUUCGACGCUGCGUAUGAUGCGGUUUCAAACUUUAAAAACUUUCAACGCGACGUUAAAACUAUUUCUGAGCUUAAUUUUUGUGUGACCGAUUGGGAAAAUUUGGAUGAAAUUUGAUAAUUGUGCAAUUAUUUACUUGUAUCGUUUGUUAGCAGGAAAUUACAUAAUUUUCGAGGACAUGACUUCUUCAUUUAUAAUAAAUUAUUUUUGCGAACGAUGUGAUACAAAUUUGGGUGCGAUUUUUUUUUGCAC